GACGAACGCUGGCGGCGUGCUUAACACAUGCAAGUCGAACGGAAAGGCCCUGCUUUUGUGGGGUGCUCGAUUGGCGAACGGGUGAGUAACCCGUGAGUAACCUGCCCUUGACUUUGGGUUAACUUCAGGAAACUGGGGCUAAUCCCGGAUAGGAGCUCCUGCUGCAUGGUGGGGGUUGGAAAGUUUCGGCGGUUGGGGAUGGACUCGCGGCUUAUCAGCUUGUUGGUGGGGUAGUGGCUUACCAAGGCUUUGACGGGUAGCCGGCCUGAGAGGGUGACCGGCCACAUUGGGACUGAGAUACGGCCCAGACUCCUACGGGAGGCAGCAGUGGGGAAUAUUGCACAAUGGGCGGAAGCCUGAUGCAGCAACGCCGCGUGCGGGAUGACGGCCUUCGGGUUGUAAACCGCUUUCGCCUGUGACGAAGCGUGAGUGACGGUAAUGGGUAAAGAAGCACCGGCUAACUACGUG
rnacentral:rRNA from 1 species